AAUGUGGUGGGCCCAGGCUCCUACAACCCGAAGCCCAUUGAGAAAUCAGCAUGCAACCAGCCAAGCCUCAUCCUGGUCAACUGCCAAGAGAUUCGACAGAAAUUUCUACCGUCUCUUUACUGGGAAUGAGAACCCUGUAGGUGUUGGUCGCUAUGACAUCUCCAAGCAUGAAAGGUACCCUCAGAAGAUAAGAUACCAGUCCCUGUACCAGUGUGAUGCCCAGCGGUACCUGAGCAACCCGAAGCGGGAUGCCUACUUGCUCGAGCGGCUCAAGCCUGUUGCUAAAAUCAACUGGUGUGAUUUGGUAUCUGCUCCACGUCGUCCAGAUACCUCUGAAGAAAUCACUUUCCCGAAAUAA
rnacentral:lncRNA from 14 species